AUGAGAGGAAUUCAACAUAGAAUUGACUUAAUUCCGGGAGCAAGUCUUCCUAAUCUUCCACACUAUCGAAUGAGCCCAAAGGAGCAUGAUAUAUUGAAGGAGAAAGUGGAGGAAUUGUUGCAAAAGGGGCACAUUCGAGAAAGUAUUAGCCCAUGUGAUGGACUAGCCCUACUCGCGCCAAAGAAAGAUGGAUCUUGGCGCAUGUGUACGGACAGUAGAGCCGUUAACAAGAUCACCAUAAGGUAUAGAUUCCCAAUUCCCCGUCUGGAUGAUAUGUUGGAUCAGCUUAGUGGAGCAAGAGUGUUCACAAAGCUAGAUUUAAGAAGUGGAUAUCAUCAAAUCCAUGUAAGACCCGGGGAUGAAUGGAAGACCGCCUUCAAGACAAAGGAAGGGUUGUUUGAAUGGCUAGUCAUGCCAUUUGGACUCUCAAAUGCACCAAGUACCUUUAUGCACUUAAUGAAUCAAGUCCUUAGACCCUUCUUAUCCCACUUUGUUGUGGUCUAUUUCGAUGAUAUCUUGAUCUAUAGCAAGAAUGAGGAUGAAAACUUUGAUCACAUUCGGAAGGUGCUAGAAGUACUAAGAGAAAAUGAGCUCUACAUCAACUUGAAGAAAUGUGUUUUCCUGCAAACACAAGUUCUUUUCCUAGGAUUCGUCAUAACAUGUGACGGCAUUCAUGUUGAUGAUUCUAAGGUUGAAGCAAUCCGAGAAUGGGCAACUCCUAAGACCAUUUCUGAGGUAAGAAGCUUUCAUGGCUUUGCAACUUUCUAUAGGCGAUUUGUUAAGAAUUUCAGCACUAUCAUGGUACCAAUUACCGAGUGUUUGAAGAAAGGAAAGUUCCAAUGGGCAAAAGCAGCUGAAGCUAGCUUCAAUGAGAUUAAACAAAAGUUAUCACAAGCUCCUGUCUUGGUACUACCUGAUUUCAACAAGACUUUUGAGUUGGAGUGUGAUGCAAGUGGAGUAGGCAUUGGAGUUGUCCUAUCUCAAGAAAGGAACUUAAGUGAAGCUAGACAGAAAUGGAGUACCUAUCAGCAAGAUUUAUACUCCGUUUUCAGAGUGUUGAAAACUUGGGAAGUCUAUUUGCUGCCUAAAGAGUUCAUUGUUUAUAGCGACCAUCAAUCCUUGAAGCAUUUUAGAAAUCAAAAGUAUGUUGACCGCAUGCUAGCAAGAUGGGCAGCAUAUCUAGAGAGAUUUAACUAUCUCAACGUGCAUAAAUCUGGAAUAACUAACAGAGUGGCCGAUGCUUUGAGUCAUCGUGCAUGCCUCUUGACUUCUUUUGAAGCUGAACUUUCGGGCAUGGAUCAAAUAAAGGAGUUGUAUGAGGGUGAGGAAGACUUUGGCCAUGUUUGGGUAAAGCACGCAAGGGGCCAACCAUUAGGUGAUGACUAUUUGAUGCAAGAUGGAUAUCUCUUCAAAAAUGACCGUUUGUGCAUUCUAAGAAGUUCUCUACAUGACAAGCUGGUUAGAGAGCUCCAUUCAAGUGAUCUUAGUGGCCAUGUUGGAUGGGACAAGACUAUCGCUAACCUGGAAGCUUGCUACUUUUGGCCACAACUAAAGAGAGACGCUGGAAAGUUCAUUCAACGGUGCCCCGUAUGUCAGACCUGCAAAGGCCAAGUCCAGAACACAGGGUUAUACAUGCCUUUGCAUGUUCCUAUUCCUCCAUGGGAGGACAUUUCUAUGGACUUCGUCUUGGGCUUGCCAAGAACAAGACGAGGAAGUGAUGUUGUAUUUGUGGUCGUGGAUAGAUUCUCUAAGAUGGCUCAUUUCAUCCCAUGCCGCAAGACAAUAGAUGCUCAUCAUGUGGCAAACCUAUUCUUUCGAGAAGUGGUCAGACUUCAUGGAGUUCCAAGGUCCAUUGUCUCAGACCAUGAUAGCAAGUUUCUUGCUGCAUUUUGGCUCACUUUGUGGAAGCAAUUCAACACUGAAUUGAAAUUUUCUAGCACUGCUCAUCCACAAACAGAUGGACAAAUGGAAGUGGUGAACAAGUUUUUGGGU
rnacentral:rRNA from 1 species